rnacentral:rRNA from 1 species
UACGUAGGGGGCAAGCGUUGUCCGGAUUUAUUGGGCGUAAAGAGCGUGUAGGCGGCCAGACAGGUCCGUUGUGAAAACUCGGGGCUCAACCUCGAGACGCCGAUGGAAACCGUCUGGCUAGAGUCCGGAAGAGGAGAGUGGAAUUCCUGGUGUAGCGGUGAAAUGCGCAGAUAUCAGGAAGAACACCCGUGGCUAAGGCGGCUCUCUAGUACGGUACUGACGCUGAGACGCGAAAGCGUGGGGAGCGAACAGG